UUCGACGAGGAGUAUGAAUGUUUAAAUUAAAAAAAAAAACAUUGAACUGAACAAUUGUAACAAGGUACAGAGAAUAAACGGUGAAUGAUGUCGUACUCGAGUCUCAGUGGCAACUAAACUACCGAAUCUUCUUAUUCUUCAACGCUCGUGUUCAUUUUAUUAGAUAUCUCGUGAACUUUACUUCUUCUUAGUUUAAGAUACAAUAUCAAGGGUGCACUUAUUAUUAUUAGAUUUAUCAAAAAGAAGAAAUUAGAAAAAUUUUUACGGCAGAACAAUGGAGUUUACUGAUGAAGGAUACACACGUAAUUUCAAUGAGUAUUAUCUACGCGAUCAAUGAUUUGAGAAGAAAAAUUGGAUGAUAAUUUUUUAGAGUGAAAAUUAAAUAUUUAUUGAAUAAUUUUUGAAGAGGAUUUAAUUACCUGA